CCCAGGUCCACGAGGGAGGGCCAUGGGAGAGGCUGCCGAGAGCAGGGCUGGCAACCUGUUGGGUCCCUGGCAGCUCCGGAAACGUCCAUAGGUCACAAGUGCAGCCGUAAAAAGAAAGAAAAAAGACAUGCAGGAUGCCCAGCUCAAUCUCAGCUUCGUCCUUUCUGCAAGGCUUUGGUGCCAGCGUCCUGGCCUCCCAGUUGCCUCCCACCAAGGUACUCAGUCCAGCCACCACCACUGCUGGGGGUGCCAUCUUUUGCUGCAUCCUUCCAGACGGGCCGGGGGAGACCUGAUCCCAUCCCGGCUGCUCGUGGCCGGCACCCCCCUCUCCCCUGUUCACUGUGCACCCAGCCACACUCGGUGCCUCUUCAUUUUGCUGCCCUCUUGUCCCACAAUCUCCCAGGGGUGGGGGCACCAAAAGAGAGAGCGGGCAGAGGUGAGCUGAGUGACCCCAUUGGGAAGGAAGGCCUGCCCGCCUGCCCGGCAGUAGCAGCUGCCAGGACGCAGAACACCUGGGUGCCCGUUCCGCUGCCCACGUGAGGGUCAGGGACAGUGUAGCCAGCGGAGGAACCUUCUGGAAGGCCAGCUCGUGCAAUAGCAGGGAGCAUUCAGGAGUGGGCAGGGGGCAUGCAGGGGCUGGAGUGUGCGACUCUGUCUUGGUGCAGGAUUUGAAAGGCCCACGUGGCAGCGAAGAUGAUAUAAACAAGACCAAAGGGGCGACAGUGGUACAGAAAACGCGGGCUGGGCUGUGCACACGGUGGUCGACCAGAAGUUCAGAGGGGCUGACACGCUGCAGACCCCUGGGGAGCAGGUGCCUCCUUUUACCUCCACAGCCUGGAACGGAUGGGCCGGCAGGAAAGCAAGGGUCUACCUCCCUCCCAGCCACACCACCCUGGCUGCUGGCUUGCAGUUGUGCUUUGUUCAAAAGCAAGGGUGCAGGCCCCGCCAACCGUGACCUUCGUGAUGACAAGCCCGCUGGCUUUUGGUGAGCCGGAAGGGCAGUGCUAUGGGGGCGCCUGCCUGGCAUCAUUAUGGAGCUGUCAGUGUCUCUGUCCACUGCUGGCAUGAGGUGGCCGGAGGCGAGGGUGACAGAUGAGGGAGAUAUUUUUAGGAGAGCUGGUGAUUUGACCUGACACAUGUCAGAAAGGCACAGGCCUCCUGCCUGUGUGACCCCAGGGAAGAGCCAUCACUGCUCCCAGAGCAGGACAACGGCCCCAAGAGUGGAGGGGGGCUGCUAAUGAGGCUGCAGAGGGGUGCCCGCGGGCGGGGGGGCGCGGGGUUGCCAUGCCCUGGUCCCUGAAGCCAGGCUGCCCUCUCCCACUCCCCAGGCCCCAGCCCCACCGUGGGGCAUGUAGCACUGACCCUGGAAACCGGCUGGUUGCCUCUCUUAACAGGACAGGUUUUCAAGUCUGAGACUUUCUGGAAUAUUCUUUCUGCCUUUGAGGCAUUAAGAUUUUUUUUUUUUUUAAUUAUAGCUGACUUACAAUG